rnacentral:rRNA from 1 species
AGUGAACGCUGGCGGUAGGCCUAACACAUGCAAGUCGAACGGCAGCACAGGAGAGCUUGCUCUCUGGGUGGCGAGUGGCGGACGGGUGAGGAAUACAUCAGAAUCUACUCUGUCGUGGGGGAUAACGUAGGGAAACUUACGCUAAUACCGCAUACGACCUACGGGUGAAAGCAGGGGAUCUUCGGACCUUGCGCGAUCGAAUGAGCCGAUGUCGGAUUAGCGAGUUGGCGGGGUAAAGGCCCACCAAGGCGACGAUCCGUAGCUGGUCUGAGAGGAUGAUCAGCCACACUGGAACUGAGACACGGUCCAGACUCCUACGGGAGGCAGCAGUGGGGAAUAUUGGACAAUGGGCGCAAGCCUGAUCCAGCCAUACCGCGUGGGUGAAGAAGGCCUUCGGGUUGUAAAGCCCUUUUGUUGGGAAAGAAAUCCAGCUGGCUAAUACCCGGUUGGGAUGACGGUACCCAAAGAAUAAGCACCGGCUAACUUCGUGCCAGCCGCCGCAGUAA